rnacentral:rRNA from 1 species
UACGAGGGGAGCAAGCGUUGUUCGGAUUUACUGGGCGUAAAGCGUGCGUAGGCGGUGUCUUAAGUUUGUUGUGAAAUCUCCCGGCUUAACCGGGAGGGUGCGGCGAAUACUGAGAUGCUGGAGUGCCGGAGGAUGAAGCGGAAUUCCUGGUGUAGCGGUGAAAUGCGUAGAUAUCAGGAGGAACACCUGCGGUGUAGACGGCUUACUGGACGGUAACUGACGCUGAGGCACGAAAGCGUGGGUAGCAAACAGG